UACGAAGGGGGCUAGCGUUGUUCGGAAUUACUGGGCGUAAAGCGCGCGCAGGCGGCUAUCCAAGUCAGUGGUGAAAGCCCGGAGCUUAACUCCGGAACUGCCAUUGAAACUGUUUAGCUGGAGUAUGAGAGAGGUGAGUGGAAUUCCCAGUGUAGAGGUGAAAUUCGUAGAUAUUCGGAAGAACACCAGUGGCGAAGGCGACUCACUGGCCCAUUACUGACGCUGAGGCUCGAAAGCGUGGGGAGCAAACAGG
rnacentral:rRNA from 1 species